rnacentral:rRNA from 1 species
UACGGGGGGGGCAAGCGUUGUUCGGAAUUACUGGGCGUAAAGGGCUCGUAGGCGGCCAACUAAGUCAGACGUGAAAUCCCAGGGCUCAACCCUGGAACUGCCUUUGAUACUGUCGAUCUGGAGUAUGGAAGAGGUGAGUGGAAUUCCGAGUGUAGAGGUGAAAUUCGUAGAUAUUCGGAGGAACACCAGUGGCGAAGGCGGCUCACUGGUCCAUUACUGACGCUGAGGUGCGAAAGCGUGGGGAGCAAACAGG